CGAGAAGACCCUAUGGAGCUUUAAACACUUAAGUUAUUUUUAAAAAUAAUAAAUCCACCCCCGGGCACAAAUAAACUAAAAUUUCUAACUUAACUUGUUUUUGGUUGGGGCGACCUAGG
rnacentral:rRNA from 1 species